GAUGAACGCUGGCGGCGUGCCUAAUACAUGCAAGUCGAGCGAACAGACGAGGAGCUUGCUCCGCUGACGUUAGCGGCGGACGGGGGAGGAACACGUGGAUAACCUACCUAUAAGACUGGGAUAACUGCGGGAAACCGGAGCUAAUACCGGAUAAUAUAUCGAACCGCAUGGUUCAAUAGUGAAAGACGGUGUUGCUGUCACUUAUAGAUGGAUCCGCGCCGCAUUAGCUAGUUGGUAAGGUAACGGCUUACCAAGGCAACGAUGCGUAGCCGACCUGAGAGGGUGAUCGGCCACACUGGAACUGAGACACGGUCCAGACUCCUACGGGAGGCAGCAGUAGGGAAUCUUCCGCAAUGGGCGAAAGCUUGACGGAGCAACGCCGCGUGAGUGAUGAAGGUCUUCGGAUCGUAAAACUCUGUUAUUAGGGAAGAACAAAUGUGUAAGUAACUAUGCACGUCUUGACGGUACCUAAUCAGAAAGCCACGGCUAACUACGUG
rnacentral:rRNA from 1 species